GGGCAGACACUUGAAUGCCUCAUGAAAAUUAGAUUAGCAUUACAGGUAUUCUUCUGAUCUAAAUUUAUUUUAUUGUACUUUGAUUGAUAUAGUCAAGAGUUUCUGGGUAUUAGGAUUUUCGGUGCAUCAGGUAUUUUUAAUAAAAAUUUUAAACACCUAAUCCUUUCGCUGUGCCACUGAAAUCUAACAGUGGUAUCAAAGCCUACUU
rnacentral:lncRNA from 1 species